rnacentral:rRNA from 1 species
GGGUGAGUAACACGUGAGUAACCUGCCUCUGAGAGUGGAAUAGCUUCUGGAAACGGAUGGUAAUACCGCAUAACAUCAUGGAUUCGCAUGUUUCUAUGAUCAAAGAUUUAUCGCUUAGAGAUGGACUCGCGUCUGAUUAGCUAGUUGGUAAGGUAACGGCUUACCAAGGCGACGAUCAGUAGCCGGACUGAGAGGUUGAUCGGCCACAUUGGGACUGAGACACGGCCCAGACUCCUACGGGAGGCAGCAGUGGGGAAUAUUGCACAAUGGGGGGAACCCUGAUGCAGCGAUGCCGCGUGGAGGAAGAAGGUUUUCGGAUUGUAAACUCCUGUCGAAGAGGACGAUAAUGACGGUACUCCUUUAGAAAGCUCCGGCUAACUACGUGCCAGCAGCCGCGGUAAUACGUAGGGAGCGAGCGUUGUCCGGAAUUACUGGGUGUAAAGGGAGCGUAGGCGGGAUGGCAAGUCAGAUGUGAAAACUAUGGGCUCAACCCAUAGACUGCAUUUGAAACUGUUGUUCUUGAGUGAGGUAGAGGUAAGCGGAAUUCCUGGUGUAGCGGUGAAAUGCGUAGAGAUCAGGAGGAACAUCGGUGGCGAAGGCGGCUUACUGGGCCUUUACUGACGCUGAGGCUCGAAAGCGUGGGGAGCAAAUAGGAUUAGAUACCCUGGUAGUCCACGCCGUAAACGAUGAUUACUAGGUGUGGGGGGGCUGACCCCUUCCGUGCCGCAG